UUAUUUUUUAUACGUAUUUGUUAAUAAAAAAUAAAAAAUAAAAAAUUUGUUCUUAUCAGUUUAAUAUCUGAUACGUCCCCUAUCUGGAGACCAUAUAUUAAAUGGAUUUUUCGAACAGGGAGAUGGAAAAAGAGCUUGCUCUGUCCACUCCACGCAUUGACCUGGUAUUGCAGUACCUCCAGGACCGGUGCACCCUUU